GUGAGUUUGGCCUAUAAGUGAGUUCUGUGAGUGAGGGCUAUGAGUGAAUUCUGUGAAUGUGGGCUAUGCGUGGGUUCUGUGAGUGUGGGCUAUGAGUGAGUUCUGUGAGUUUGGGCUAUGAGUGAGUUCUGUGAGUUUGGACUAUGAGUGAGUUCUGUGAGUGUGGGCUAUGAGUGAGUUCUGUGAGUGUGGGCUAUGAGUGAGUUCUGUGAAUGUGGGCUCUUAGUAGGUUCUGUGAGUGAGGGCUAUGAGUGAAUUCUGUGAAUGUGGGCUAUGAGUGGUUUCUGUGAAUGUGGGCUAUGCGUGGGUUCUGUGAGUGUGGGCUAUGAGUUAGUUCUGUGAGUGUGGGCUAUGAGUUAG